UGGGUGUUUUAGGAUUACGGAACAGGUGAAGAUCAUUUCAUUUGGUGUCUUAAGGUUUAGAAACAUUACUGUUGGUCAUAUACAUUGGGUGUCUAAAGGAGAACACACAACUAGACAUCAUAGAGCAGGAUGUUGUUAAGCAAAGGAACAGCAGGAGAUCAUAGAACAGGGUGUUUUAAGGUUAAAGUACAGCUGAAGAUGAUAGAUCAGAGUGUCUUUAG
rnacentral:lncRNA from 1 species